CCUACGGGUGGCAGCAGUGGGGGAUAUUGCACAAUGGGCGCAAGCCUGAUCCAGCUACGCCGCGUGUGUGAAGGAGUGCUUCGGCAUGUAAAGCCCUAUCGGCAGGGAAGAAGCAAGACGGUACCUGACUGAGAAUCCCCGGCUAACUACGUGCCAGCAGCCGCGGUAAUACGUAGGGGGCGAGCGUUAUCCGGAUUCACUGGGUGUAAAGGGAGCGCAGACGGCCAUGCAAGCCAGGGGUGAAAGCCCGGGGCCUAACCCCGGGACUGCCCUUGGAACUGCAUGGGUGGAGUGCGGGAGGGGCAGGCGGAAUUCCUGGUGUAGCGGUGAAAUGCGUAGAUAUGAGGAGGAACACCGGCGGCGAAGGCGGCCUGCUGGACCGCGACUGACGUUGAGGCUCGAAAGCGUGGGGAGCGAACAGGAUUAGAUACCCUAGUAGUC
rnacentral:rRNA from 1 species